GCCUAGCCUAGCCAUAAACCUAAACAGAUUAAUACAACCACUGUUCGCCAGAAUACUACAAGCAAAACGCUUGAAACUCAAAGGACUUGGUGGUGUCCCACAUCAUCCUAGAGGAGCCUGUCCUAUAAUCGAUACUCCACGCUAAACCUUACCAUCUUUGGCCACUCCAGCCUAUAUACCGCCGUCGCCAGCCUACCCCAUGAGGGCCUUAUAGUAGGCGAAAUUGUUCCACACAAAAACGUCAGGUCAAGGUGUAGCUUAUAAGACGGAAGAGAUGGGCUACAUUUUCCAAAUUAGAAAACACGAAUAAUGUAAUGAAACCAUACAUUAGAAGGAGGAUUUAGUAGUAAAAUUUGAAGAAAAAUCAUUUUAAACACGCUCUGGGACGCGC
rnacentral:rRNA from 1 species